AAGUCAUCUAUUACGUAACUACUAGGGCAAAUUUGGGAUAUUUCCCUUCUCGAAAUCCCGAGUUUCUGGUCGCGUCGGGGAGAGAGAGACGCGACGAUGUCGAAUGUGUACGUGCUCGAGCCGCCGACGAAGGGGAAGGUAGUGGUGCAGACUACAGUUGGGCCGAUCGACAUCGAGCUGUGGCCGAAGGAGGUGCCCAAGGCCGUCCGCAACUUCGUCCAGCUCUGCCUUGAGGGCUACUUUGACGAUACCAUCUUCCACCGCAUCAUCAAGGGUUUCCUCGUCCAGGGCGGUGAUCCUACUGGCAGCGGAACCGGUGGGGAAAGUAUUUACGGUGGAGUGUUUGCUGAUGAGCUCCAUUCUAGACUUCGAUUUAAUCACAGAGGCUUGGUUGCAUGUGCAGAUGCUGGCUCUCCUCAUUCGAAUGGAAGCCAAUUCUUUAUGACAUUAGAUCGUUGCGACUGGCUAGAUCGGAAACACACAAUUUUUGGAAAGGUUACAGGAGAUUCCAUAUUUAACCUUCUAAGGUUGGGUGAAUUUGAAACUGACGAAGAUGAUCGACCGGUUUACCCCCCUCCAAAGAUUCUUUCUGUUGAGGUGCUAUGGAAUCCAUUUGAUGACAUUGUUCCAAGGCAACUAAAGGAGAAACCUCAAACUCAUGCCAAGGUUGCAGCUGAAGACCAGGAGCAAAAAAAGAAAGCAGUCAAGAAGCUUAACAUGCUCUCUUUUGGUGACGAAGUUGAAGAAGAUGAAUUGGAAGCUGCAAACAUAAACGAUAAGAUCAAGAGUAUCCAUGAUGUGUUAGAUGAUCCUCGUUUCCUCAAAGAAGAAGCAAAACCUGAACCAUUGUCUAAAGCUGAAAUGGACAAGAAAAAUGAAGCUCGUUUAGCUGUCAGAGAUGCUCUAGUUUCCAACAAAGGUAACAACAUUAGAGAACCUCGGAUGGAUGAUUUCAGUGCUGAUGAUCAUAGUGAUAAUGACGACGAAUCCAACUUUGAUGCAAGAAUGCGAAUGCAAAUCUUGAGAAAACGCAAGGAGAUGGAUGAUGUUAUCAAUCAUGACAAGAUACCUGCUGAUAAACCUAAGCGGAAACACCGGGAGGCAUCACCUUCCAGGUCAGUUGCUGAAGUUAAAAAUUCCAAGGUUGAGAAAUUGUCAAUGAAGAAAAAGGGCAUUGGAUCAGAAGCCAGAGCUGAUCUUAUGGACAAGGCAGAUGCAGACAUGGAGUUACUGAAUCAUGCUGAACAAGAGAGGCAAUUGCUGAAGCAGAAGAGGCGUCGAAAUCAGGGCCGUGAAGGAGAUACUCUAGCCAAGCUGGAUAGAUUCAAAAAGUCUAUAUCUACAUCUAUCAAGGUUUCUGUGCCGAGUAGCAAUGGUAAGGAGGCUACCGAGGAUGAUGAUUCUGGAUGGAUGGCAACACAGCUAAAGUUCCUUUCUGAGUCCUCUGAUAAGGAUAGCAUGACUAGAAAAGAUGAUCCAAAUGAAUAUGUUGUGCAUGAUCCUCUUCUGGAGAAGGGCAAAGAGAAAUUUAAUAGAAUGCAGGCGAAGCUCAAGCGACGGGAGCGGGAGUGGGCUGGCAAAUCUCUCACCUAAUUAUUUACAUGAUCAGGUCUAACAUUAUGGCACCUGACUUUUCAGAUUUCAAUCAUCCUUCAUGUUGAGUAGCUAUGAAGACGAUUUGCAGCGUCAAGCCUUAUUGAAGCUCUGAUGUUUCACCCAAAUUGCACACUAGGCUAUUGCUGUUCAACAAAUGCAGGAGUUGUAGAUAUACUGUGGUUGUCUCCCAGAUAUCACCAACUUGCCAAACUGGCUGUUGAUUGUUGCCCAGUACCAUGACCAUCUAUUCCUUUUGCCAACUUCAUUCCAAGCAUAAAUCUUUAUUAUGUUUUCUAGAUACUGUAAAUAACUUUUAUUAAAUCCAGGAGAGAUUUGUUGGUGUGCUUAACUAUGUGCCAAUCUACUGCUCGAUUUUUGGUGACAGUGGACAUUCAUAGAUAAGUUUACGUCCUUGACUGGUUACAAUGGAAUGAAUCUGUGUGCAACUUCGUUUCCUAUAGUGAUUUUGUAAAACAGUAUGAUCUUAAGAUUUUUAAGAUCUAGGAACAUAAAACAGCAUAAUUUUAAUCUUUGUUUUCUGUAUAA